rnacentral:rRNA from 1 species
UACAGAGGUCUCAAGCGUUGUUCGGAUUCAUUGGGCGUAAAGGGUGCGUAGGCGGCGCGGUAAGUCGGGUGUGAAAUCUUGGAGCUUAACUCCGAAACUGCAUUCGAUACUGCCGUGCUUGAGGACUGGAGAGGAGACUGGAAUUCUCGGUGUAGCAGUGAAAUGCGUAGAUAUCGAGAGGAACACCAGUGGCGAAGGCGAGUCUCUGGACAUUUCCUGACGCUGAGGCGCGAAAGCGUGGGGAGCAAACAGG